GUGAGGAAUAUUGCGCAAUGGAGGCAACUCUGACGCAGCCAUGCCGCGUGCAGGAAGAAGGCGCUACGCGUUGUAAACUGCUUUUAACCGGGAAGAAACCCCAGGACGUGUCCUGGGUUGACGGUACCGGAGGAAUAAGCACCGGCUAACUUCGUGCCAGCAGCCGCGGUAAUACGAAGGGUGCAAGCGUUAUCCGGAUUCAUUGGGUUUAAAGGGUGCGUAGGCGGAGCGUUAAGUCAGUGGUGAAAUCCUGCAGCUUAACUGUAGACUUGCCAUUGAUACGGGCGCUGAUGAGUGCGCUUGAAGUGGGCGGGAUGUGCCGUGUAGCGGUGAAAUGCUUAGAUAUGGCACAGAACACCAAUUGCGAAGGCAGCUCACUAAGGCGAUACUGACGCUGAGGCACGAAAGCGUGGGGAUCGAACAGGAUUAGAAACCCGGGUAGUCC
rnacentral:rRNA from 1 species